rnacentral:lncRNA from 1 species
GACUUCCUCUCCAAGCUGCUCCGAGGGGAAUGGGGAAUCGGCAGGAAAUGACCCGAACUGCCAGCCUGCGCCUUUGCAGCCGGCCCUCGCUUUGCUGAAGACGAGCAGCUCCCACCAAAGUCUUGCCUCCCCUUACCCCGAAAGCCCCGCUCAGGGUCUCACUCUGCCAUCACCCAGGCUGGAGUGUGGUGGCACCAUCAUGGCUCACUGCAGCCUUGAACUCCUGAGCUCAAGUCAUCCUCCCACCUCAGCCUUCCGAGUAGCUGGAACUGCAGGUGUGAGCCACCAUGCCUGGCUGAUUUGUCUUUUUAAAUUUUUUAUAGAGACCGAGUCUCAACUAUAUUGUCCAGGCUGGAAAAGAACUUCUUUCCCUCCAAGUGAUAACCUUUUCCAGACAAGUCAGCUUAAAAACUGACCCAAAGGCCCUGAAGUACACAGUUUUCUUGGAGAAAGAAAAAAAUAAGUGAAAAGGACUUGCUGACUUGCUAAUUCAUUUUGGGGCCUGUGGGUAACAUCAGAAUGGCAAAGCACUUGGGGCUUUUUUCUAAUUUGUAUUUUUUUAAUCUUCUGAGAAAUGACUUUUAUAUGCCAAGAUUCAUUCCAUGAUUAGUUUUUAUGACCAAGUUAUGAACGCUUUUGAAUAUGGGGACCUAGAAUAGAAAUGCUAACCUACCUGCAAGGAGAGCUCUGUGAUUGGCAUCCCCAUCAUGCUGUAACUGACACAAAAUAAACUUAGGGUAAUUGCCG